rnacentral:rRNA from 1 species
AUCCUGGCUUAGGACGAACGCUGGCGGCGUGCCUAAUACAUGCAAGUCGAACGGUCUUUCUAUGGAAGCUUGCUUCCACUGAGAAGAUAGUGGCGAACGGGUGAGUAACACGUGGGUAACCUGCCCAUAAGAGGGGGGAUAACAUCCGGAAACGGGUGCUAAUACCGCAUAGUUUUCUUGAUCGCAUGAUCGGGAAAGGAAAGACGGCCUUUGUGCUGUCGCUUAUGGAUGGACCCGCGGCGUAUUAGUUAGUUGGUGAGGUAACGGCUCACCAAGACGAUGAUACGUAGCCGACCUGAGAGGGUGAUCGGCCACAUUGGGACUGAGACACGGCCCAAACUCCUACGGGAGGCAGCAGUAGGGAAUCUUCCGCAAUGGACGAAAGUCUGACGGAGCAACGCCGCGUGAGUGAAGUAAAAGGUUUUCGGAUCGUAAAACUCUGUUGUCAGAGAAGAACAAGUUGGAGAGUAACUGCUCCAGCCUUGACGGUAUCUGACCAGAAAGCCACGGCUAACUACGUGCCAGCCGCCGC